ensembl:lncRNA
GGCAAAUCCGGAGCUGGAGACUCGUGCCGGCUAAAAAGGCGAGGGGGGAGGAGGGGCCAGCACGUGAAAAUCCCUCUCGGGGUUCACAUGUUCACUUUUGAAAAACGCCUAGAAACUGCGAUCGAGCUGUCCCCCGCGCCCCACAGUCCAUCUGGCUAGAGGAAGCGGGUCCCGUCUCCCUUCAGGGGUGACGACUUAGCCAUAUACUCCGGGCUCAGGCUGGGAGACCAGGCAGGGGCGCGCCGGAGGCGAAGGCAACAUUAAAAGUUUCGCAUUUUAUCGCCUGGCCUGACUCGGAGGUCGCCCCAGACAAACCGCUCGGGUAGAGGCACGGGCUUCUACCGCAUUUCUUUCGCCCUCCCCAAGAUAUUUUUUAAAACCCCAAGGCAAACACCGAUCACCUCCCACCCUACCCCAAAAUGGACAGACGCACGCUCGCGCAGCGCGUUAAACUCGGAGAGGGGAGGGAAAAAAGAGUUGCUGGGGAAACAACCCCGAAAGAAAAAAAAAAAAAAUCCAGCUUCUAAAAUGAGAAUAAAUGAAUAUGGAGAACCGUAAACACUAGGCGGCCGAAGCAGGGCUGGAGCGCGUGGAGCGGGGUGUCCCUGCCUGGACGCUGCGGUAACCCCCCACCCCCGGGCUGCGUCCCGCCCUCGGGGCUCUGCGCACUCAGCCCGCGCCUACCCGCCGCCGGCCGCACCUCGCGGCCCCGAGGACGCCGUCGACCCCCAGUCCCCGCCUCGGCGGCCCCAGACCCCAGCGCGCCCAGCCGCAGCCCCCGACUCCACCGCUGGGACUGGGAGUUGGGCGGGGGUGGGGUGGGGAUUCCGGCGGAGAGGAGGCAGGCGUAGCAAGAAUUCGAGGAGGUAGAAAGCUGAGGGGCGCUGCGCCGCCGAGACUAGGUCACCUUAAAAGGCAGAGAGGAAAGAGCCGGGCGCGCGGACCCGCGGCCGGGCCGCCCCCUCCUGGCACCUGCUGCUGUAGCGCCGGGCCGCCCACGGGCGUGCGCGCGCGCGGGGGACGCGGGAUGCUCGCAGCCGCCCUGCCCUCAGGUUCCCAGCAAAGCAGCGGCGAGAGGGUGGAGGUCUUCCUGCCAGUAAUCUGAGAUGAGGGAUAAUGAGGUGACCCCGAGGCUCGAGAGGAUCCCCCAGCUCCGGAAGCAACCGCCAAGACUCCUUCCUCCCAGCUUUUGGCUCUUUGAUACCGGGCAGCUGCAAGUCCUCGACCGUGGUGGGGUAAAGUGAUGACAGAGAGAGGGCUGUGUGUGUGUGUGUGUUUCGGUCCAUUUAGUGAAAAGUGGGUAGAUGGGGCAGGGUGGGAAGGAGAGCUAGAGCAAUAGAAGGUGAACGCCAGACUGGGUGAAAAGGAAAGGGGGAAGGGAGAGAGAGAGACCUAGAGGCAGAGAUAAGAGAACGCAGAGGCAGAGAGACCGCGCGCCCGCCGAGGGCCAACUCCAUCCGAAGGCGUGCCUGCGAAAGGAGCUGUGAGCUGGAGAGAUGAACCGAAGUGAGCCGAUGGGUGGAGAGUCGGAGAAGUAUCUCGGAAAACUGGAGGAUUCUUUACAGCCUGAGCCACCAGGGAGCACAAGAAAACUGGAGUGGGCAGCCUGUCCCUUCCCCAGUGGAUCUUUUCAACCCAGGAAUCGAACAGGGGUCUCCGGCUUUGCAGGUAGGUUUGUUACCAGCUGAUCUACCAGGGAAGUUUAUAUUGUAAACUUAUAUGAAAAAAAAUUCCACGAAGUCUUUGGCUUGAAUAUCUGGAUGGCCCCUGAAUCUUUAUUUGUUUGCAUGUUUGUUUAUCCAGUGGAUGGAUGGCCUUAGCUGACAACGUCCUUUGGACGUACCUGUGGCAUCUUCCACGGAGGUCUAGUUAUGAAGCAGCCGGCCAGCAGGAAGCUGCCAGCUCACUGUCUAAGCACCAUGGUGAGUCAAUGCCUCCUGGCCUCCUGGUCAACUCAAGGCUCAGGACAAGAGGAGCCCCAUCCCACCUGGUCACUGUUUUCUCCUACGCAUGUGGUCAGGAAACCCUGACCAACCGCAGUGAAAACUAGAAUUCACUACCUUUGAUCGAUACACAGAUGUCUCAGUCCUACCGGGAACGGUCAUCAGUCUGAGGUUCUCUUCCUGCCUGACUCUGCCCUCUCCUCUUCUACCGAGUGAGGAAAGUUCUGGAUGGGGAUUGGGAGGGAAUCGUCAGUCCCAGGACUUGCCUCUCUCUGCUCCAUUCUGUCAAAAUGUAGUGAAACAGUGGGGGUCCAUCUUCCACUCCACACAGCUGAGUAUCUUCCUUGAAGAUGAAAGAACAGUUCAACUGAGUACAGCUGGAUCCGUGACGAACUCGUGAAGAAGAGCUGCAUGGCUCCCUGACACAGUGGACAUUGACAUGAUAAGAGAAAUAGACAUUUGUUUUUUCCUCAAGCCACUGUGAUUUGUGGUCUUCUUGUUUGUUUUUUAUUAUCCUUUAGCAAUUGAUAGGGAAUAUGAGAAUACCUCUUUCCUCACACAUUUGUCAGCAGGUAUUAAACCUUUGGAUCUUUGGUAGCUGUAGAUAAAAGUGGUAUCUUAAUGUCCUUCUUGUCUUCUUUUUUCUUAUAACAAAUGUGAUUAUUAAUAUUUUAUGUUAAUUAAAAGUGCAUCCUAUUUGUAGAGAACAUUGACAUUUCCUUUCUCACUUUUCUAUUGGUUCAUUAUUAUUGAUGUAUAGUAAUAUAAAGUUAACAAUACCAUAUUUGUCAAAAGUGAUUUCUUUUAUUUUCAUCCUUACUUUUUUCUUAUAUCUGUGGUAAUUCUUUUGCCGUGUAAGAUAUUACAAUACUUUAGGUAAUAAUAUUUAUCUUUUAAAAAUAAUUCUUAAUUUCUGUUUCAUGCUUACAGAUGUCUUGCAUACUGCAGCUGUUUUCUUAAUCUGUAUUUUCUUCUGAUAUUUCAUGAUUUUUUUCAUUUAAUUAAUCUUUCUCAAAUUUGUUUUGAUAAAUCUAUAAACUUGUGAUUCAUUAUUCUUCCUCUCUAACUGGCUGCUUAAUUAUCACAAUUUUUAUUGAAUAAUCCAUCUUUUCCAUAAAGAUUUAAAUGACCAUGUUCUGGUAUUAAUACUAAAACUUAAAAUCAAAUAAAUAUGACCCUCUAGACCAAACAUCAGAAUCUAAUAUUAUUUAUAAUAGUAUAAUAGUAUAGGAUGCCAGGUUAGGUUUUAAUCCCUCAGGAAAUACUUCUCAUUAUUAGCUCAGGCUUUACUGGGAGUGGAUAUUAGAGUAUUCUUGAGGGAGAUGAGUAGAAAACAAUCAAAGUAAUAAUUAUUAAAUGUCUAGACAUAAUGAAACUUUAUUGUAGAAGAUAUUUUGCAUUCUCAUUUUUCUCACUUUUGGAAGAUAUUUGUAAGAUAUCUAAAAUUUUCUUUAAAUUUCUGUUUUGCCAACAAAUAUCUAUAUUAUUAGUUCUUGGAUAUUAACUCCAUAGUGUGAAUUCAUGUGAAUUAUUUACCUGCAAAACAUACAACACUAGUUUUGAUUCAAAAUAUAGUUUUCCACUUUCAUACAAAUUUUAAAAAUUCAGACAGAAAUACAUUAUGAUCGACAAGUGUUUGCAUGUUGAUUUGUACUGACUUUCCUUGUAAGCUUCAUAGAUGAGCUUCUAUAUGAUAAUGGCUCAUAUAUGAUAAUCUGCCUAAAAGGCCAUCUCAAGUUUUUAGAAAUUGUGUGAACUUUUCUUGUAUGAAUCUCUUUUAUUCACCAUCAUCAACGGAGUAUGAUUGCUACUUGCUUAAAAGUGAAAGGAUGUAAUAUCACACUCAAAUGAUUCUUUUUCAGACAAAUAAAGAUUCUCAAACCAGAUGACAGUGAGAAUAAUAAUAUCAUUAAUAAAGCUUGUUUCAUUCGAGGCAUCUGCCAAUCAAAACACUAUUUAAAUUUAAUUGAAGAAUCUGUCAAUGAGAAGGGUGUAUAGAAGUUUCUGUAAGAAAAUACAGUUCAUGAAGGGAAGUAUGUAAAAUAGGACUUUUGUAGGCAACGGAUUAGUCUGUGAAGGUCAGAGGUCAACCGUGGAAACCUGGGUUGUGUUUUCUAAGUGAAGGGAUGAUGUAGGGUAAUCAUACGGUAAUCAAACACAAGAUUUUGCCCAAGCAAGUGAUAUGGAA